rnacentral:rRNA from 1 species
GGUGAGUAACACGUGGGUAACCUGCCCAUCAGAAGGGGAUAACACUUGGAAACAGGUGCUAAUACCGUAUAACAAUCGAAACCGCAUGGUUUUGAUUUGAAAGGCGCUUUCGGGUGUCGCUGAUGGAUGGACCCGCGGUGCAUUAGCUAGUUGGUGAGGUAACGGCUCACCAAGGCCACGAUGCAUAGCCGACCUGAGAGGGUGAUCGGCCACAUUGGGACUGAGACACGGCCCAAACUCCUACGGGAGGCAGCAGUAGGGAAUCUUCGGCAAUGGACGAAAGUCUGACCGAGCAACGCCGCGUGAGUGAAGAAGGUUUUCGGAUCGUAAAACUCUGUUGUUAGAGAAGAACAAGGAUGAGAGUAACUGUUCAUCCCUUGACGGUAUCUAACCAGAAAGCCACGGCUAACUACGUGCCAGCAGCCGCGGUAAUACGUAGGUGGCAAGCGUUGUCCGGAUUUAUUGGGCGUAAAGCGAGCGCAGGCGGUUUCUUAAGUCUGAUGUGAAAGCCCCCGGCUCAACCGGGGAGGGUCAUUGGAAACUGGGAGACUUGAGUGCAGAAGAGGAGAGUGGAAUUCCAUGUGUAGCGGUGAAAUGCGUAGAUAUAUGGAG